CGGAAGUAUAACCGUCCAUUGUGUUUCUGCACGAAAGGAUUCUUCAGUCAUCACUCCAAGCAACAUUUGAGUUUUACAAUUUUUUCACCAAAUAGUUACCGUGGACUUAUUGAGUCUGUUUAGUUGACUGGAAAGCUAGCUUCUGCAGCCAGUGGGUCCAGGUACUGUUUGGAAACAAUUAAGGUGCAUGUCGUCGACGUGCGAGAGAAAAAAAAUGUAUUUAACCAGCCGAGAGGUGAUGAUGCGGUACGGCCAGCGGGCAGAACACAGCACGACAGGUGAGGGGAGCAGUGGGCAGCAGCGGUGCCGCGCCCGGGAAUCAUAUUUGGUGAUGUAAACCCCAAUUCCAACCCUUGAUGCUGAGUGCCAAGCAGGGAGGUUAUGCGUCCUAUUUUUAUAGUCUUUGGUAUGACUCGACUUGACGGCAGGUAAGACCUACAAGGGAAUGCAAGUCAAGUGUGUGUGUAAUAGUAAAAGGACAUGCUACGUCACACCGGGAAUAUCCAUAAAUUAGCCGAAACAUUGUAUAAAGAGCGUGGUUCAAAGUGUUGUAAAAACACUUUGAACCACGCUCAUAGACCGGAAAUUACGGUAAUCUAGGCGUGUAGCGGUAGAAAGGUAGCAGGGGAGGGGUUAAAGCAGUGUCGACAACGCUGUGGAUACUUCCUGGAUGUUUGAAACUACACACGGCUUGUCCAGGCCAUUCUUUGGACUCAAUUGAGCUAGCAAAAAAGGCUAAAAAAAAAAAUGCCGACAAAGAAAAAUAAUUCUGCUGCCUGAACGAGCCCGCCAAUAAUGAAUGUGUUGCCGGGCACAAAAUGGCCAGGCUGCAGGCCAUUUUGGAUGAAACGUUUACACGUGGAUACCAGGUUUGUAAACCAAAGCAUAUCUUUAUUCAGUCUGUUCAUAAAUCGUAAAGUUUGCAAAUCAAGGUUCCACUGCAUAUUGUUUUCUUACAUUCAUUUGUAAGUACAGUAUGCAUUCAUUGCAGUUCGUACUCUGUGUUUCCGUAGUCAGGAAGUAGUCAUUGCCCAUAAGUUGAAUGUGCCAGUCUUGUCUUUUGUUGAGCCUUAUGGAAGUGUUUAUUUAUACAUAGGCGGCAACGAUUAUUGAUUGGAUAAGAUAAAAGCUUCCAUUUAUAUUUUGUUGAUUAGAUUAAUCAUUUUAUAACGCAAGGAGUGCCUGGAACUUUCAAUAUGCGGACAUAGUUUUUCGUUCAGUCACUGUAAUAGAGCACACAUGAGAGCGGUGGUGUGUGUUGGGGGGAAACGGCGGAGUUUCUAUUAUUUUAAUAAUGCCCAAAUCAAUAGUGUUUAUGUGCAUUUAAUACGAAAAAGAAUGAAAGAUAUGGAAAGCAGAAAAACAUUUUUUUAUUACUCACUAUUACCCUUAAUUACGCAUUAAUCGAUUAAUUCCUUUUUAUUAAAAUAAUCGAUAGCUGCAUCCCUAUUUUAUACUGUAAGUAUUGUACUUAGUACACACUACCUGUUUGAUUGUAGCAAGCGUCUUAGUCCUAGUUUCAUUACCAAAUUUAAGGCUAAUCAAUAGCAUGUCUAUGGUAAACGAGCAACAAGCUAAUGCAUUUCCGGGCACUUUCUUUCAGGCAUGCUUUGCUUUGUUGGCAUGGAAAAUUGCAACAAUAUCGAGAGGCACCCCGCUAGGAAAACACCUGUUUGCCCGCCAAGUGCUUGAGUCUGCAAGCGGACAUGACGUCCCGUGCAGCAAAGGAAUCAAGAUGUUUAGUGACUCCAUGCUCGGUAUUACAUACGGAAAUUGGUCCGUAUCUAUGAAUUAGGUACCUAAGGUGGUUCAGGCUUUAUGGGGACCAAGUUCGAGUCAAACAAACUGAAGAAGGAAAACGGAACUACCAGUGCAGCUACUUUAAACCUCGACUAUCAUUAUACUAUGAUAACAGUAGAAAGGGGAUUCACACGGGCCCAUUCGCCACGGUUUACCUGACACAUGAAACGUGACAAAUGUGGGGCAUGCUCUAUUCACUUUGGCCACAAGAUGGCAGUAAAGUAAUACAUAUAUUAAAAUGUGUUUUGUGGCUGUACCAACUUUGACCAGGGCGUCAGUUGUUGUAUACAGUGGCGCUUUCCAUCAUUUUCAGCAAAAUAAUUCCUCUCACGCGAGAGCCACCCAGGAAUGGGGCCAUAUGAAUCCCUUCCCUCCUGUAGCUUGUGCAGGUGUAGCUAACAUCAAUUAAUCACUGUAGUAUGAUUAGCUUGAUUAUUUGAUUACCUUUGAAAGAGCAGAGCUUCCUUGUUUGUUGUGAGGUUUUUGAGGUAGCCUCCCUUGGCGUGGUUGAUCCUGGCAUGGCAGCCGAGCAUCUUCGGUUUGUAGCAGUACCACGGCUCGCCAGUGCGAGGGUCUGUGUAGUCGCACAGAGGUCCCCAGUCGGGCGGCAGGCACAGGUUACAUAUGGUGGUCUCAAACCGAAGGCCUAGGCGGUAGAAGCUGUUAAAGUACACUCUGUCGGAUCGCUCCUCCCUCAGCCGCCGCAGCACGGCGACCGCCUCGCUCGGGUGCACCAUGGUGACCUCCACCUGAGCCAAACCUUCCCACAGCAGCGGGAAUCGAACGGAGUAGAAUCCGUUCUCGUGGUCCAGCACCACCCCGGCCACGCCUGCCCUGCACUCCGGCGAGUGCAGUCGAGCCAGAAGAAAAUCGCCACCGUAGCUUUUAGCCCGGCCCUUAAAGUCGUACAUCUGGACGAUGAUCUCUAGCUGCUCGCCGACGUACCGCCGCCCCUCGUUCUCAGGGGGGAGGAUGGAGAAGAGGCUGUGGACCGGGUCGCUGGUCCUCAGCAGGGCUAUCGGUCCCGAGUCGGAGGGCGGCCCGGGCCAGGCGAUGGAACUCAACAAGUAGCGCUCCUCUAUCUCUUCUUCUAGCGAGGGUUUCUGGCCCAGAUGUGCACAGAAGGAGCGAUUGUGGUGGAAGACCGGGACGGGUCCAGACAAAGAGGAUUGGAUGUGGUUCUGGAGCUGCGACAGCGCUGUUACCGUGUUACAGUUCCAGUUCUGAAGACAUACCAACACAUGCAACAUAG